UGGGGAAUUUUGCACAAUGGGAAACCCUGAUGCAGCGACGCCGCGUGAUUUAGAAGGCCUUCGGGUUGUAAAAAUCUUUUCUAUGGGAAGAAAAUGACAGUACCAUAGGAAUAAGGACCGGCUAAUUACGUGCCAGCAGCCGCGGUAAUACGUAAGGUCCGAGCGUUGUCCGGAAUCAUUGGGCGUAAAGGGUACGUAGGCGGGUAAGCAAGUUAGAAGUGAAAUCCUGUAGCUCAACUACAGUAAGCUUUUAAAACUGCUCAUCUUGAGAUAUGGAAGGGAAAGUGGAAUUCCUAGUGUAGCGGUGAAAUGCGCAGAUAUUAGGAGGAAUACCGGUGGCGAAGGCGACUUUCUGGCCAUAAUCUGACGCUGAGGUACGAAAGCGUGGGUAGCAAACAGG
rnacentral:rRNA from 1 species